rnacentral:rRNA from 1 species
UACGGAGGGUCCAAGCGUUAUCCGGAAUCAUUGGGUUUAAAGGGUGCGUAGGCGGCCCUGUAAGUCAGUGGUGAAAGCCUCCAGCUCAACUGGAGAACUGCCAUUGAUACUGCAGGGCUUGAGUACAGACGAGGUUGGCGGAAUUGAUUGUGUAGCGGUGAAAUGCAUAGAUACAAUCAAGAACUCCGAUUGCGUAGGCAGCUAACUAGGCUGUAACUGACGCUGAGGCACGAAAGCGUGGGGAGCGAACAGG